CCAAUUUUCUGUAGCUAGCUUGAGUUGGUAUUAGCCAUUUAAACUUUGAAAAUGGCUAUGUGGAUACUUCCUACAUCCUUUUUCAUGAGAUGAUGAAUAGUUAUCACAAGAUAUUUGAGAAAAUUUUUAAGGAGCCAUUCAGUUAUUUAAAAACAAACUGAAGUCAAUCACCAUUAUUACAAAGUUGUAUGAUAUACAUGUAUAAUCCUAGAAACUUAAACGUGUUCAAGAGUGUUGAGUUCUGAGCCAUCAUCAUUUUGAUUUGGUCCUUUCUGCCUCAAAUAUCACAGUUUUUCUUCUGUGGAUAUCACAGAGUAAACAUCACAAUAUAGGCAGAAGCUUGUAUAAUUUCAAUCUAGUAGAGGCCACAAAAUAAAACAUUAUGCUGAUACUGUUGUGAAUUGUAUAAAAAAACAUGGAACUACACCAUUAUUGGAGACCAAAUAAAAAUUCAUAGAUAAUGUCUAGUAAUAUACAACAGCCAGCUUUACAGAGUUAUCAAACAAUCAGAUACCAGAAGAGACUCCUCGUUGAGUCACUAUUAGAGAUUAAAUGAACCAACUUUGAAAAAUAAAGGGGCAAUCUUCACAUGCCAAGUCAUUAGGAAAUUAUUCCAUCCAAGAAUUAACAUACUUUACCAUCACUACUGUUUCAAAGAAUCAAAUGCUAAUAUACUGUAAUGACUCCAUUUCACAAGUGAAUCAAUUCAUCAACCAUGAACAAAUAUUGACAUACACACAAAGCAAAAAGAUUUGUAGUUAAACAUCAGGAUUCUAACAGAUUCGGCAUGUUCAUAGAGUUAGCAACUCAAAUAUUCAUUCAUUUUUUCAAAUAGAAAAUAACAAAAGUAAGCGGACGCACCUAAAGGCAGAAAACAACAAUUAGAGGACCAAAUAAAGGUAUGAACUUCAAAGCUGGAGCUCAGCAGCUCCAAAAACGAGCAACCCCAACAGAUUCGACAACUUCAAUAGCUCAAACCAUUUAGAGAAAUCCCAAAAAAUGUACAACAAUUGAAUGAAAACCCGAAACCAACUUUAAAUCUUCCUUUUCAUCGUUUUUUUCUCUUUUCUUUUUUUUUUUUUGAUUUUUCGGAGUUCUUUUUUUUAGAUCUGAAAUUCGGUACUUUUAAAUCCAGAUGUUUCUGUUUGUGAAAGUGAGAAAGGAAUGAAGAAGGAAAGGGGGAAUAACGCUGUUCUGGGUCUGUGAGAUGAGGAAUGGAGCAGCGUUUGUUUUUGGGUGUUGAAGAAAAUGGGGAAGAAGCCUUUUUCUUCUUUCUAGAUGCGCCGUUUGGUCCUAGGGUCUAAAAGAAUAUGGGAAAAUCUGAUUGUGGUAAUUAGGUCCUAGCUAGGUUAAAUAGAGCUAUGGUUAUUUUAAGGGCAGAGAAUGGGUAUUGGGCUAAAAUAAUUGGGCUGGAAUGUGGGUAAUUG
rnacentral:lncRNA from 1 species